CCUACGGGUGACAGCAGUGGGGAAUAUUGCACAAUGGGGGGAACCCUGAUGCAGCGACGCCGCGUGGGUGAAGGAGUAUUUCGGUAUGUAAAGCCCUAUCAGCAGGGAAGAACAAUGACGGUACCUGACUAAGAAGCACCGGCUAAAUACGUGCCAGCAGCCGCGGUAAUACGUAUGGUGCACGCGUUAUCCGGAUUUACUGGGUGUAUGGGGAGCGCAGGCGGCGCGUUAAGCCUGGUGUGAAAGCUCGCGUCCCAACCGCGGGACUGCAGUGGGAACUGGCGCGCUGGAGUGCCGGAGGGGUAGGCGGAAUUCCUAGUGGAGCGGUGAAAUGCGUAGAUAUUAGGAGGAACACCAGUGGCGAAGGCGGCCCACUGGACGGUGACUGACGCGGAGGCUCGAAAGCAUGGGGAGCAAACAGGAUUAGAUACCCGAGUAGUC
rnacentral:rRNA from 1 species